CCCUACGCCCAUCUCUCGCCUCCUGCCUCCUCAAAAAACUAAUACACUCAAAAAUAGUUUAGCUGCAGGGACGCACUAUAAAUUUCCUCCGUUAAAAAUUAACUGGCGCUUUUGUGACUUGCAGGGACUAUAUCCCCCAAGUGGGUUCAACAGGGCAUGUGGUGUUGCCUGCAUUUUUACAUCUGGGAAUAAGCUCGUCGCUUGUUAACAGUACCCAGCAAGUGGGAGAAGAAAAGUGGCGUUAAACCCAACUCUGGCAAGGAGGAAAAUCAAAUGGAAAAUACGCAUUUUUAAUAUGCCACUGGGGCAUCCCAGGCCUCCUCGCCAUGCUGUGGGGUCCGCCCCAUGGCAAGGGCUUCUGCAGAGACUCCUCCAGAAAUCAAACCAUUCCAAGUGAGGGGGUGACGUGGCUUCUGACCCCAGGAUUGAGAACCCAAGCUAGCUCACCCUGCUUCUGAAGGAGCAAGGUGCUGAGGAAGGGCCCCGGGUGAGAAACCGAUGGCAGCAGCCUCACUAGUUGCCUGGAAAGAGGUGAGGUGAGAAGACAGGUCGUGCCUGGAGGUGAUGUCUCCUCAUGGCAGCCCUGGCAGAGCAGGCAGCGAGCCUGGGCACCCCAACCCACGCCUGCACCGUGGUGCCCUGGCACCCAGCUGAGCGGCCACCGGCCCCCCCGGCUUCUCUGGAGGUGUAAAAAAAGAGGUGGCCUUAAGGCUGUGGCAUGAAAAAUCCCUGGUACUUCACAAGCCGUGCGUGUUGUGUUGUUUUUCUAGGUUAGCUAAAUUUCCCCCCUCAGUUUCAGAUGGAAGUGAAACUCUUACUUGCUGCUGAAACUGAGAGGGGGGGAGAGGCGGGGGGAUAAUUCUGCACAGCAGCGUUCUCCAAUGGGUUACUCGAUCGAGAAGUGACUGCAACUCACAGGUUUCCAGUUGCUCCCCUAACCGCCCUCUGGCCUGUACCACGAAAGAAAUAAACACAUUCAAGUUUUUUUUUAUUUUUUUCCUUACAGGAGAACAUCUGUGACCCAUUAACAUGGGAUCCCAGGCUGUGAAGCCAGCGUUGGAGCCCGGCCUGAAGCACGGCUCGGGCAAGUCGGUCAUUCACUUCUCCAGGAGUUUGGCAUUGCUGCUCUCUAGUAUUUUAUCAGCGUGUUUAUUUUUGUUAUAGUAGCACUUCAGGACUUCAAAAAAAAGAGCUACAGCAAUAUUUUAC